UCAACUUCCCUUCCGUGGGCUUCCCACCUUUGGGGUUAUGCUCCCCCUCUCCAUCACCUGCUCCGCCCAUGACCAGAUGACAUCCGCCGCCGCCUCCAUUCCCCGUCCUGGACUCCGGGUCCCCGGCCGCUGACCGCCUUCCACGAGCGCCAGCCGCCCCCUCUGGUGGUUUGGAUGACAGCCCAGAGCCCACUGGAAAAUAUUCAAGGAUGGAAAGAGCCCACGCAGUAUGUGCUGGAUGGAGAGAGUAUGACAACAACGCUGUGAGGCUAGACUCUUCGUUCCAACUUCACCUGGGAGGAAGCUGAAAUGCAGAGAAGAGUUGAGGAGACUGAGGGUCCGAGAGGUGAAGGGACCUUUCCAGGGUUACACAGCUAGUAAAUGACUCUGGAGUCCGUGCUCAUCUCAGCCUGCUGCAUCGUAUCCCCAGUUGUGGCCUCAAGAGGCAUGCUCAAGGAAAACAAGGCAUGAAUCACAACAUUCUACUCACCUAAACAAGGGGUGCAAACUCAAGUGCCUCCUGGACCCAAACAGAUCAUUUACAAGAGUGAAGCAGUCCAGGCGUAAGACGACAUGGAGGGGUGGGGACUGUGGGUAACUGGAGAAGUCACACCCCAUCUAAAGCCAAUAGGUGCUACUCAUCUCCAACAAAAUGUGACCACGUGGGACUAUGGGUCAGUGUGGCCAGAUCUGAUUUUUCAAAGAAAAUCUGGAAAUCUGAAACUUUUAUGUGAAAUUUACAAACAAAACAUUUCUACUUGCUGGUUGUGUCCAGAUGACAAUUUGGUCCUCUGAACUAGAAGAUGUUCCACAACCUUGGAAAGGAUCCCAUGUCUACAGACCAGCUGUUCUGAGUUUUGCACUGUUUGGUCCUCCAGAUGCCCCGCUAUCUGGGGCAAGAAGACAGAAGAUACAAACAUCUGAAAGGUAUGCCACACUUGAAGAAAGACACAUAGUUAAAAAAAGACACAGGACCACUUGAAGGUCUGAGCUCCUCGGCUGCCAACAACAGAACCCAAUUCUAGGUAACUUAGGCAGGUAGGAAUUUGCUGGAAGGACAUCUGGAAGCUUAGAGAACCGGUGAGAGAAAUAGAAGCAGAAAAUUGGGAGACACCCAGACUGCUGGAGGCCGGAUGAAAUCCAGAUCAUCUCUCCUCGUGGGUAGCCCUCAGCCUGUCCUUCCAGAGGUUCCAGCCAAAUGAUCCAGCUUGGUGAGAAGGAAUAUUUGAUACUUUCGUUCCGUACAUCAUCUGAUAUUUGAUCCAGAAGGUGGAGCCACCCCCAAACACAGGAGGGCAAGAUGUCUCAGUGAGUGCUGGUAGCCACUUUGUGACCAUGAGGGGAGUCACGACUCAGUGAAGCUGAUGCUAUGGACUGCUGAGAAGGAAGAUGGAGAGAAUCUGGGCUCCUAAUGAUGCCACAGAGUUGUCCUUAGCUGCCCUGGGGAAGGCUGUGGGUGAAUAAGGUUUCUGCGGAGAAGAUGGGAGAAUUUUAAUCAAGGUUAAAAAAUCACCCCUUCUUUAUAGCUUUCACUUUCCCUUGUUUCAGGAACUACACUUUUGAUCGGUCUUGACUUGUUCUUUUUUUCCAUUCCCCCACUUGUUCCCAAGAUAUAAAAAAGGCAAAGUGAGGGUGGCCUGGGGACCACCCUUAAACUUGCAACUGGUGUCUGAGGUGAGGGCAGUCUUGU